AAGUCGUAACAAGGUUUCCGUAGGUGAACCUGCGGAAGGAUCAUUAUCAAUAUCAGCGGGCUUCGGCCCCUGCUAUACCCUUGUCUUUUGCGUACCACUUGUUUCCUCGGCGGGCUUGCCUGCCGAUAGGACAAACACAAACCCUUUGUAGUUGCAAUCAGCGUCAGAAAAAAACAAUAAUUAAAACUUUCAACAACGGAUCUCUUGGUUCUG
rnacentral:misc_RNA from 2 species